rnacentral:rRNA from 1 species
ACAGGAAACAGCUUGCUGUUUCGCUGACGAGUGGCGGACGGGUGAGUAAUGUCUGGGAAACUGCCUGAUGGAGGGGGAUAACUACUGGAAACGGUAGCUAAUACCGCAUAACGUCGCAAGACCAAAGAGGGGGACCCUCGGGCCUCUUGCCAUCGGAUGUGCCCAGAUGGGAUUAGCUUGUUGGUGGGGUAACGGCUCACCAAGGCGACGAUCCCUAGCUGGUCUGAGAGGAUGACCAGCCACACUGGAACUGAGACACGGUCCAGACUCCUACGGGAGGCAGCAGUGGGGAAUAUUGCACAAUGGGCGCAAGCCUGAUGCAGCCAUGCCGCGUGUAUGAAGAAGGCCUUCGGGUUGUAAAGUACUUUCAGCGGGGAGGAAGGGAGUAAAGUUAAUACCUUUGCUCAUUGACGUUACCCGCAGAAGAAGCACCGGCUAACUCCGUGCCAGCAGCCGCGGUAAUACGGAGGGUGCAAGCGUUAAUCGGAAUUACUGGGCGUAAAGCGCACGCAGGCGGUUUGUUAAGUCAGAUGUGAAAUCCCCGGGCUCAACCUGGGAACUGCAUCUGAUACUGGCAAGCUUGAGUCUCGUAGAGGGGGGUAGAAUUCCAGGUGUAGCGGUGAAAUGCGUAGAGAUCUGGA